rnacentral:rRNA from 1 species
UUGAUUCUGGCUCAGGAUGAACGCUGGCGGCGUGCCUAACACAUGCAAGUCGAACGAAGCACUGCAAACGGAGAUUCGUCAAAGUUUGCUUUGACUUAGUGGCGGACGGGUGAGUAAUGUAUGAGCAACCUGCCUUUCAGUGGGGGACAACAGUUGGAAACGACUGCUAAUACCGCAUGAUGUCAAUUGGGGGCAUCCCCGAAUGACCAAAGGAUUUAUUCGCUGAAAGAUGGGCUCAUAUCUGAUUAGCUAGUUGGUGAGGUAACGGCUCACCAAGGCUGCGAUCAGUAGCCGGACUGAGAGGUUGAACGGCCACAUUGGGACUGAGAUACGGCCCAGACUCCUACGGGAGGCAGCAGUGGGGAAUAUUGGGCAAUGGGCGAAAGCCUGACCCAGCAACGCCGCGUGAAGGAAGAAGGUCUUCGGAUUGUAAACUUCUUUUAUGAGGGACGAAGGACGUGACGGUACCUCAUGAAUAAGCCACGGCUAACUACGUGCCAGCAGCCGCGGUAAUACGUAGGUGGCAAGCGUUAUCCGGAUUUACUGGGUGUAAAGGGCGCGUAGGCGGGGAUGCAAGUCAGAUGUGAAAUCUAUGGGCUUAACCCAUAAACUGCAUUUGAAACUGUAUCUCUUGAGUGCUGGAGAGGUAGACGGAAUUCCUUGUGUAGCGGUGAAAUGCGUAGAUAUAAGGAAGAACACCAGUGGCGAAGGCGGUCUACUGGACAGUAACUGACGCUGAGGCGCGAGAGCGUGGGGAGCAAACAGGAUUAGAUACCCUGGUAGUCCACGCUGUAAACGAUGAAUACUAGGUGUGGGGGGACUGACCCCUUCCGUGCCGCAGUUAACACAAUAAGUAUUCCACCUGGGGAGUACGGCCGCAAGGAUGCAACUCAAAUGAAUUGACGG